rnacentral:tRNA from 1 species
GGGGACUUAGCUCAGUUGGUAGAGCGGUAGCUUUGCAAGCUUCAGGUCAGGGGUUCGACCCCCUAGUCUCCACCA